rnacentral:rRNA from 1 species
GACGAACGCUGGCGGCGUGCUUAACACAUGCAAGUCGAACGGAAAUUCCCUGCUUUUUUGGGGUGCUCGAGUUGCGAACUGGUGAGUAACACUUGAGUAACCUGCCCUUGACUUUGGGAUAACUUCAUGCAACUUGUGCUAAUACCGGAUAGGAGCUCCUGCUUUUUGGUGGGGGUUGGAAAGUUUCGGCGGUUGGGUAUGGACUGGCGUCUUAUUAGCUUGUUGGUGGGGUAGUGGAUUACCUAAGCUUUGACGGGUAGCGGGGCUGACAGGGUGCCCGGACACAUUGGGACUGAGAUAAGGCACAGACUAAUACGGGAGGGAGGAGUGGGGAGGAGAGCACAACGGGAGGAAGGAUGAUGCAACAAAGCCGCGUGCGGGAUAACGGCAUUCGGGUAGGAAACCGCUAUCGUCUGUGACGAAGCGUGAGUGACGGUAAUGGGAGAAGAAGCACCGGCUAACUACGUG